CGACAGUGGCACUCCUUCUGGUUUUAGCCAUUCUCAUGGUCACCUGUAUUCUGUGGAAAACUCCCAAGGAAAUACAGGACAGGAACCGAGAGACACACAGCAGCCCCACGAUUGCUUCAACUACAGACCAUGUAGAAGAAGUGAUUUAUGCCACUGUGGUUUGCAGGAAGCCAGCAGCAGAAAGAGUGGUAAACUUCCAGGUCUAUUGGGAAGGUGCUCUUAAC